ensembl:lncRNA
UGUCACACAAUUCAUGCAUCCAGUACAGGGUAAAGAAUCAGUUUUACACAAAUUGGUGCUGUUCCAGUGAAAGUUUCUACCAGUCAAUCAGGAUGGAACAGAAGGGGACUCCUCUUUGGAAAGAUAGGAUUUGCUGAAGCUCUCAGAACCACUCUCAGGAGUCAUCCACGUGCUCGGUGGUUGCUGCUCUCUUCAGAGAUUAUAAUCUCCUUCAAGCAGAGACUCAUCUUCUUGCACAACUCUGAAUGCCACUGAAGUCAGAAACUGCACAGCCAUCAACACCGAGAUAAUGCAGAAGCAGGGCUGAACAGAGGACAAUAACGUUUUCUGUGUCACAUUAGCAUCUCAGUGAUAUCUUAAAUGGGAAUGAAAAUCAUGAUAAGCAGUGUGGACACCAUUCAUUCCAAAAGCCAGUAUUUAAAACCCUGAUGUAUUUUGCAAUUCUAUAUCUGAAAGAACAGCUAGGAGUGCCAUGAUCUGCCCCUUUGACAGCCAUGGGAGGUAGAUAUAGAGAAGACAGCCUCAGGCAUGGAUCUGCAGUCACUGCCAGGUACAAAAUUCUCCAAUUUGCAAUGCCACGUGAAAGAUCUCCUGCUGUUUGAGUGCACGUAUGGCCAGCCCAUCUACGAGCAGAUUAAGUAACCCUUCUUUGAUGGACAAUUUUGUUCAACUUUCUUCAUCACAGGCUAAAGUACAUGAGAAGGUAUUAUCAACAUCUGAAAAUAAACUUGCUAUAAUGAGAUUAAUAUGGUUGGUUGAUUACAUUCAGUCAUCAUUUUCUAACCCUGAUUUUAAUUUCGCUCCACAUUUUAAGUUCGUGCUAUAUAAACUCAUAUUUACUUUCUUAUGCUCCUCACUGCACUCAGUUUUCCAAGUUGCUUUCUAAUUUGCUUUAAUCUUCA